AUCUCUUUGGUUAUAAAUAAACGUGCAACGACAUCGAUCCGAGAGUGAUAUUGUCAUUAAAUUAUAAAAUUGCAAUAAAUGGUAAAUAUGCAAUAAAUGAUGUUAGGUUUCGUAAUCGCGCAUCGCGUUUAUAUGAAUAGGUAGAAAAUCCUAUUCUCGCGAUUCGUCGCAUAUCGCGUGUCGCGUCAUCGCGCUGGUUUUACUGAGACUGAGAGAGAGAGAGAGAGAGAGAGAUUGCGGUGGAACGAGUUAAACAGUAUUUAGAUCAUGUGCCGACUGAAAAUACAAUGGGCACUAAUCAACCUUACGCGUGGCCUAGUCAAAGUGUUGUGGAAUUAAAAAAGUUGUUUUGAUGUACAGGAACCAUUUAGUGCCAUCGUUGAGAGAUAACAUUCGUUACUCGACCAGCGGAAAAAAUAGACGUCGUUGGUCGCACCGGUGCUGGAAAAAGUUCGUUACUAGCUUCGUUGUUUAGACUGACAGAGAUCAGUUCUGGGAGUAUAUUAAUCGACAACGUGAAUAUUCAAACGUUACAACUGAACACAUUAAGAUCCCGUUUAGCAAUUAUACCUCAGAAUCCGUUUCUUUCCUCGGGUACUAAUCGAGAGAAUGUGGAUCCGUUGGAUCAGUAUACCUAUAUGCACAUAUAUACAAAACCUUCGAGAAAUGUAAAGUGCAUUCUUUAGUUCAUCGAAUGGAUGGUUUGGAUGCAGUCUUGGAUGAAGGUGGUAGUAAUCUCAGCACUGGGCAGAGACAAUUGUUCUGCUUAGUCAGAGCUGUGCUACACAAUGCGAAGGUACUUCUUAUCUGUAAUAUUCAAGAAAGCAAUUGUUCCUGUA